rnacentral:lncRNA from 1 species
AAUCUCAGAAUCAAAAGAUGUCUUCAUCCGAGCCUUCUCAAGGACAAGUUGAUCAAUAAUCUUCUUCCAAGCACCGGAAGGUUGAGGCAUACUAGAGGAAGGCAUACCCUAUGGCUCUCUCUGUCUCUUCACUGCUCGGUCUUCAAGAAGUUUAAUAAGUGCAUCCUUGUCUUUCGACCCAAGUUGCAACUCCCCAUGCUUUCGACUUAAAGCAUGGAACC